rnacentral:rRNA from 1 species
GGGGUAACGGCCCACCAAGGCAACGAUCAGUAGGGGUUCUGAGAGGAAGGUCCCCCACAUUGGAACUGAGACACGGUCCAAACUCCUACGGGAGGCAGCAGUGAGGAAUAUUGGUCAAUGGGCGAGAGCCUGAACCAGCCAAGUAGCGUGCAGGAAGACGGCCCUAUGGGUUGUUAACUGCUUUUAUAAGGGAAUAAAGUGAGUCUCGUGAGACUUUUUGCAUGUACCUUAUGAAUAAGGACCGGCUAAUUCCGUGCCAGCAGCCGCGGUAAUACGGAAGGUCCGGGCGUUAUCCGGAUUUAUUGGGUUUAAAGGGAGCGUAGGCCGGAGAUUAAGCGUGUUGUGAAAUGUAGACGCUCAACGUCUGCACUGCAGCGCGAACUGGUUUCCUUGAGUACGCACAAAGUGGGCGGAAUUCGUGGUGUAGCGGUGAAAUGCUUAGAUAUCACGAAGAACUCCGAUUGCGAAGGCAGCUCACUGGAGCGCAACUGACGCUGAAGCUCGAAAGUGCGGGUAUCGAACAGGAUUAGAUACCCUGGUAGUCCGCACGGUAAACGAUGGAUGCCCGCUGUUGGUCUGAACAGGUCAGCGGCCAAGCGAAAGCAUUAAGCAUCCCACCUGGGGAGUACGCCGGCAACGGUGAAACUCAAAGGAAUUGACGGGGGCCCGCACAAGCGGAGGAACAUGUGGUUUAAUUCGAUGAUACGCGAGGAACCUUACCCGGGCUUGAAUUGCAGAGGAAGGAUUUGGAGACAAUGACGCCCUUCGGGGUCUCUGUGAAGGUGCUGCAUGGUUGUCGUCAGCUCGUGCCGUGAGGUGUCGGCUUAAGUGCCAUAACGAGCGCAACCCCUCUCCUUAGUUGCCAUCAGGUUAAGCUGGGCACUCUGGGGACACUGCCACCGUAAGGUGUGAGGAAGGUGGGGAUGACGUCAAAUCAGCACGGCCCUUACGUCCGGGGCUACACACGUGUUACAAUGGCAGGUACAGAGAGACGGUUGUACGUAAGUACGAUCAAAUCCUUAAAGCCUGUCUCAGUUCGGACUGGGGUCUGCAACCCGACCCCACGAAGCUGGAUUCGCUAGUAAUCGCGCAUCAGCCAUGGCGCGGUGAAUACGUUCCCGGGCCUUGUACACACCGCCCGUCAAGCCAUGAAAGCCGGGGGCGCCUAAAGUCCGUGACCGUAAGGAGCGGCCUAGGGCGAAACUGGUAAUUGGGGCUAAGUCGUAACAAGGUA